rnacentral:snRNA from 1 species
GUGCUCACUUCAGUAGCAUAUAUACUAAAAUUGGAACAAUACCAAUUGUGCACUGACCCCUGCACAAGGAUGAAAGGCAAAUCGUGAAGUGUUCUGUAUUUGU